rnacentral:sRNA from 1 species
ACAGACUUCAAGUGAUGUUGCUUCACUUGCCUCUCAUAUCCUAAAGAACCCAAAUGCUUCAACGA